CUUCCAAGCCAGCAGACGCCACACCACACACAACCAGUCCUGAAAAUGGCACAGAAACGGCAUCAAAAAACCCCGAUCACAAUGAUACGAAUCUCUUCAGGGGGUGGACCCCAAGUUCCUGAGGAACAUGCGCUCUGCCAAGAAGCACAGCAAGGAGGGCCUGAAGAAGACGCAGGCCAACAGCGCCAAGGCCACGAGCGCACGUGCUGAGGCUGUCAAGGCUCUCGGAAAGCCCAAGGAGGCCAAGCCCAAGAUCCCACAGGGCGACAGCCGCAGGCUCAGUCGACUUGCCUGCACUGCUCACCCCAAGCUCGGGAAACGUGCUUGUGCCGGCAUCUCAAGGGGCUCAGGUUCUGUCGGCCAAAGGCCAAGGAUAAGGCUCAG